UCGAGAAUCAUUCGCAAUGGGCGCAAGCCUGACGAUGCGACGCCGUGUGAACGAAGAAGGCCUUCGGGUUGUAAAGUUCUUUCGCUUGGGAACAAGCAAUGCGGGUGAAUAAUCCGCAAAGUUGAGGGUACCAGGUAAAGAAGCACCGGCUAACUCCGUGCCAGCAGCUGCGGUAAUACGGAGGGUGCAAGCAUUAAUCGGAUUAACUGGGCGUAAAGGGCGCGUAGGCGGCAAAUCAAGUCAGAUGUGAAAUUCCGGAGCUCAACUUCGGAGCUGCAUCUGAAACUGAUUAGCUAGAGGGUAGACGGAGAAAAUGGAAUUCCACAUGUAGCGGUGAAAUGCGUAGAUAUGUGGAGGAACACCGGUGGCGAAAGCGGUUUUCUAGUUUAUACCAGACGCUGAGGCGCGAAAGCGAGGGGAGCAAACAGG
rnacentral:rRNA from 1 species